GCCGCUGUAGCUCAGUGGUAGAGCAUAGGUAUCGUAAACCUAGGGUCACCGGUUCAAUCCCGGUCAGCGGCU
rnacentral:tRNA from 1 species